AUACGUAGGUGACAAGCGUUAUCCGGAUUUACUGGGCGUAAAGGGCGUGUGGGCGGUCUUGCAAGUCAGAAGUGAAAUUCCUGAGCUCAACUCGGGCGCUGCUUCUGAAACUGCAGGACUUGAGUGCUGGAGGGGAUAGCGGAAUUCCCAGUGUAUCGGUGAAAGGCGUAGAUAUUGGGAGGAACACCAGUGGCGAAGGCGGCUGCCUGGACUGUAACUGACACUGAGGCGCGAAAGCGGGGGGAGCAAACAGGAUUAGAUACCCUGGUAGUCCACGCCGUAAACGAUGGGUACUAGGUGUAGGAGGUAUCGACCCCUUCUGUGCCGGAGUUAACACAAUAAGCAUUCCGCCUGGGGAGUACGGCCGCAAGGUUGAAACUCAAAUGAAUUGGCGGGG
rnacentral:rRNA from 1 species